rnacentral:lncRNA from 1 species
CAAAAACAUUCUUAGUUGCUACAGGAACUUCUUUCAAAUGGAGCUCUCCAAUUCCACUCUAUGGGGAAUCUAGACAGAUAGCACCAUCUUUUCAAAAAAGCCUCCUUAUUGGAAACUGACUGUGUCUGAAGAGAGCCAAAGCAUUGCCCUACUCAUAUUGCUGUCUUCUUCAUUAUCUGAAUCAAGGAGGUCUGCGUUCUCUGUGCCUGUAUCAGUCAAUUCUUGCUCCAUUUCACUGUCACAGGAACUUUGGCUCACAUGGCCAAUGUCAAAGUCAUUGUCGUCGUCAUCAUCAUCAUCUACCCACACCACUCUUCUGUUAUGAAAACAUGUAUUUUACCGUAAUGGAUCAUCAUCAUCAUCCAUGCAUGAGUAAUCUGAUGAUUCACUUUUGACCUCUAAAACUUACAAAUCUAGUUUUUCAUGUGCCAUUGUAUUGAACUGGGCUACUUCUAUCAGAAAAAAAUG